GGUGGGGGUGGGGGGUCCCUCAGCCCAAUUGCAAGAGGGUGCAGGCCAGGCUGAGGGACCCCACCAGUGCACG
rnacentral:pre_miRNA from 1 species